CUCCUACGGGGGGCAGCAGGGGGGAAUUUUGGGCAAUGGGCGCAAGCCUGACCCAGCAACGCCGCGUGGAGGAAGACGGCCUUCGGGUUGUAAACUCCUUUUGCAGGGGAAGGGAGAGGACGGUACCCUGCGAAUCAGUCACGGCUAACUACGUGCCAGCAGCCGCGGUAAUACGUAGGUGGCGAGCGUU
rnacentral:rRNA from 1 species